rnacentral:rRNA from 1 species
CUCGCCUGUUUAUCAAAAACAUAGCAUGUAGUAAAGAUUAUAGGUGAGCCCUGCCCUAUGAAUUUUAAAUGGCCGCAGUACUCUGACUGUGCUAAGGUAGCGUAAUCAGUUGGCUUUUAAAUGGAGUCGAGUAUGAAAGGGUAUACGGAGACAAGCUGUCUCUUUCUGGUGGGGUUGAAAUUUCUUUAAAGGGUGCAAAGUCCCUUAAUUAGAAAAAAGACGAGAAGACCCUUAGAGUUUUUACUAUAUUUUUUACGUUUUUGCUGGGGCGGCAAGGAGACAACUAACUCUCUUUUUAUUAAUACGUGGUAAUCGAAACUGAUAAUAAACAAUAAACUACCUUAGGGAUAACAGCAUAAUUAAUUAUUAGUUUGUGACCUCGAUGUUGGACUAGGAAGACUUUAGACUAGCAGUCUAAAGUUGGGUUCUGUUCGAACUAUUUCUCCUACAUGAUCUGAGUUCAGACCGGA